AAAUAGCAAAACCUUGGGAUAUAUUAAAAUUACCACUUAUAAUUUUUUAGGAAACACAAAAAAUCAUUAUAAUGGAUCGAAAAUUAGUUGUUGGCAUGUGUUUAUUUAUCAUUGUUUUCUUAACUCCUCAUACUGCAGCGGCAACGAUGUAUGGUCCAUGUGAAAAACCAAGUAGAUUGUUCAAUGGUAUAUGCAUUGGACAUUCAGGUAACAAACAAUGUGAGUUUCUUUGUCAAGAAGGAGAAUACUUACUACGCGGUUCUUGCCAAAUGAAGACCUGUGUUUGUUAUGUAUGUUGAAGAAUGUCAAUGAAAUAAAUGGUGAAUUAAUCCUCUUCCCUUUAGUUAUAAGAUAAAUAAUAUAGUAUUUAUGGGUUAAUAUGUACAAAGGUAGGCAGCUAGUCAGCUCGUUCAUAUGCUGCCAUGAUUAAAUUAAAUAUGUAUGUAGUAGUAAUAAUUAUGUUUUGAGUGUUAAAUUUUCUUUAUCUAAAGUAUCUAAGCCAAUGCAAUGUAAUACAAUGUGACACGAUUUACAAAUGGUAUAUCAUGUCUCUUUGACAUGUAAAUAAAAGUCUAAUUUCAUAUAGGGGUGGAAAUGGCUAUCUAUAUGUAUAAAUAGUUUUUUCUUUCUGCUACCACUCUAUUUAAUAAAUAUAAUAUAUGCGCUAGUCUCAUGUUUUUGAUGAUAUCAUCUUGAAUGGUACUUACUGGAUUUUGAAGAAUUCGUGGGGUAUUUUAAAAUAUCUAUGAAUAUAAAAAAAAAAUGCAUUUAUGCAAAAGAAAAUACCCCUUAUCCUAAAUAUAAGAGAAAGUUUGGUCAUAAAAGUUUAUGUAUUUAUGUAAAAUUUUGAACCAAAUACAUCUAUCUUUUUAAGAGAAUUAAGACGCUGUUAAACAUUACAUGUAAAAUAAUAAUAAUAAAGAAGAUAAUAUUGUUUCAAGCCUACCACGUAAAUCCACAAAGACGAAAAACCCAAGCAUCACACAUUAACAAACAUUAAACACUCUUACAGACAUUAAAAUAACUAAAUUAAGGUGUUUUUGUUGCUCAUCCUUGGCUACAUCUUUUUUGCUGGCAAGAACAACAAAACCGUUAAUUUAUUAUGGCUGCCUGCGCUUUAGGAUUUGGACUUGUUAGGCAACUGGUCAUGGGGCGGGAUGAGACUUGCUUUCCUAUAUAAGCAACUUUCUCUUACCUCUGACUCAGCUGUUGGCGUCGUUGGUGGUUACAUGAGCUUGCUUGUGGGAUGGGUUUUGGCGCACUACAGGCAGCUUGUUCCAAGGAGGCCUGAUCCAGAUUACGUGCGUGCUGACCCGCUUGUGGGUAGAUGGAAACCUCUCAGGGGCUUUUCUGAUCUUGGAUACUUCAGAACCAUAAUUGAUUCGAUGGAUCAUACUCAUGUCAUCUAGAGGCCAUACAAGACUCGACGAGACCUGACGCCUUUUCAUUAUGUAUGUUGGUACUCCAAGUGGAUCAUGGUCGGCAAAGCCAGAAUGGGCAUCACUUGCCGGAGGGAGUUCAAAGACAGUAGGGCUAUGUCCAGACCGUUCUCAGAGGCAUAGUGGACAGCGCUAUGAUGGAGUUUCAUGAUGUGUAUUCAAAUCUUGUUGUUGUCGGCGUUAUGGAGAUCAUCCGGCAACAGUAUCGUGUGCUGGAGGAGGUGCGGGAUCCGCAGAGGAGGAGUACGCGUCCAUGGGAGUAGUAGGGUCUUAUUUUAUGACGUUUGUAUAUUUUUAGUUUUUUUAUGACAUUUUCUCAGAUAUGGAUGUAAUAUAUUUACACUUGCACUUUUACAUUUUUAUGAUAUUUUGCGUUAUUUUA